GCUACUAAAUCUCCUACAGUACUACUUGUGCUUUGCAUUAAAAGUUUACUGCAUAACAUAUACUCCAAGAGUAAUGGGGUUAGGGUAACCUGUGCAACCUGUUGGCCUCAACUACAUGAAAGUAGCACAAUGCAUAGCAAGUACGGAAAACAUUGGCAGGCUCGCAGGCAAUGAUGCUGACUUUUGGUAUUGGAAAGAUUCUUAUUCAUUUCUACAAACGAAUGAUUUCUUGUGUCACAUUUGUUAUUUCCCAUCUGCAUUUCUCUUUGUGUAGAAGAAUUGCAAAGUUACAUUAAAGAAAGUGGAGGGGAAAUUGUUACAGGGAGAGUUUUGCAGCAUGUUAUGACAACAUUGUCUCCAACAGACUUUAAUAUAACAGUAAACGUCUUAAAGUAAAAAUAAGGUGUAAGGCUAACACAUAAUAA